AUCCCUGCAGCGCAAUAGAAACCGUGUUGGACUUCUAAUCGAAAGGUCGUGGGUUCGAAUCCCACAUGGGAUG